rnacentral:rRNA from 2 species
AAAGGCGCGCGAUACAGGGUGACAGCCCCGUACACAAAAGCGCAUGUGCUGUGAGCUCGAUGAGUAGGGCGGGACACGUGGUAUCCUGUCUGAAUAUGGGGGGACCAUCCUCCAAGGCUAAAUACUCCUGACUGACCGAUAGUGAACCAGUACCGUGAGGGAAAGGCGAAAAGAACCCCGGCGAGGGGAGUGAAAAAGAACCUGAAACCGUGUACGUACAAGCAGUGGGAGCACAGGUUUACCUGUGUGACUGCGUACCUUUUGUAUAAUGGGUCAGCGACUUAUAUUCUGUAGCAAGGUUAACCGAAUAGGGGAGC